GCUUACAGGCCAUACCACCCUAAAAACGCCCGAUCUCGUCUGAUCUCGGAAGCAAACCACGGUCGGGCCUGGUCAGUACUUGGAUGGGAGUCCGCCUGGGAAUACCAGGUGCUGUAAGCC
ensembl:rRNA 5S_rRNA 5S ribosomal RNA